ACGGGAGGCAGCAGUGGGGGAUAUUGCACAAUGGAGGAAACCCUGAUGCAGCGACGCCGCGUGAGUGAAGAAGGUUUUCGGAUUGUAAACCUCUGUCAACAGGGACGAAAAUGACGGUACCUGUGAAGGAAGCUCCGGCUAACUACGUGCCAGCAGCCGCGGUAAUACGUAGGGAGCAAGCGUUAUCCGGAAUUACUGGGUGUAAAGGGAGUGUAGGCGGGACUGUAAGUCAGAUGUGAAAUAUGCCGGCUCAACUGGCAGACUGCAUUUGAAACUGCGGUUCUUGAGUGAAGUAGAGGUAAGCGGAAUUCCUAGUGUAGCGGUGAAAUGCGUAGAUAUUAGGAGGAACACUAGUGGCGAAGGCGGCUUGCUGGACGACAACUGACGCUGAGGCGCGAAAGCGUGGGGAGCAAACAGGAUUAGAUACCCUGGUA
rnacentral:rRNA from 1 species